rnacentral:rRNA from 1 species
CUGGGCGUUAAGUUGCAGGGUAUAGACCCGAAACCCGGUGAUCUAGCCAUGGGCAGGUUGAAGGUUGGGUAACACUAACUGGAGGACCGAACCGACUAAUGUUGAAAAAUUAGCGGAUGACUUGUGGCUGGGGGUGAAAGGCCAAUCAAACCGGGAGAUAGCUGGUUCUCCCCGAAAGCUAUUUAGGUAGCGCCUCGUGAAUUCAUCUCCGGGGGUAGAGCACUGUUUCGGCAAGGGGGUCAUCCCGACUUACCAACCCGAUGCAAACUGCGAAUACCGGAGAAUGUUAUCACGGGAGACACACGGCGGGUGCUAACGUCCGUCGUGAAGAGGGAAACAACCCAGACCGCCAGCUAAGGUCCCAAAGUCAUGGUUAAGUGGGAAACGAUGUGGGAAGGCCCAGACAGCCAGGAUGUUGGCUUAGAAGCAGCCAUCAUUUAAAGAAAGCGUAAUAGCUCACUGGUCGAGUCGGCCUGCGCGGAAGAUGUAACGGGGCUAAACCAUGCACCGAA